rnacentral:rRNA from 1 species
CUAAGAAUCUUCCGCAAUGGGGGAAACCCUGACGGAGCGACGCCGCGUGGAUGAUGAAGGCCGUAAGGUUGUAAAAUCCUUUUGUCGGUGAAGAAUAAGCCAGGGAGUGGAAAGCCCUGGUGAUGACGUUAGCCGACGAAUAAGCCCCGGCUAAUUACGUGCCAGCAGCCGCAGUCAUACGUAUGGGGCAAGCGUUGUUCGGAUUUAUUGGGCGUAAAGGGCGUGUAGGCGGCUCAUCAAGUCUGGUGGGAAAUUGCAGAGCUUAACUCUGCGUAUGCGCUGGAAACUGGUGGGCUUGAGUUCUUGAGGGGAAGCUGGAAUUCCAGGUGUAGGGGUGAAAUCUGUAGAUAUCUGGAAGAACACCGGUGGCGAAGGCGAGCUUCUAUCAGAGGACUGACGCUGAGGCGCGAAAGCGUGGGGAGCAAACA